AGUGAACGCUGGCGGUAGGCCUAAUACAUGCAAGUCGAACGAACGCACAGUAAGCGCUCGCUCCUAAGGGUGGCGACUGGCGGAUGGGUGAGGCGUACAUCGGAUACUUAUAUUUCGUGGGGGAUAUCGUAAAGAAAGUUACGCUAAUACAGAAUAUGACGAACCGGUGGAAGCAAUGGAUCUACAGAGCUUGGCCGAUAGUAUGAGACGGCGUCGCAUUAGCUAGUUGGCAGGGUAAAGGCCCACCAAGGCGACGAUACGUAGCUGAUCUGAGAGGGUGAUCGGCCACACUGGAACUGAGACACGGUCCAGACUCCUACGGGAGGCAGCAGUGGGGAAUAUUGGGCAAUGGGCGCAAGCCUGAUCCAGCCAUGCCGCGUGGGUGAAGAAGGCCUUCGGGUUGUAAAGCCCUUUUAUUGGGGAAGAAAAAAUGUGUAUGAAUACCCCGCUGUUCUGACGGUACCUAAAGAAUAAGCACCGGCUAACUUCGUG
rnacentral:rRNA from 1 species